rnacentral:rRNA from 1 species
UACGUAGGGUGCAAGCGUUGUCCGGAAUUAUUGGGCGUAAAGAGCUCGUAGGCGGUCUGUCGCGUCUGCUGUGAAAAUCAGGGCUCAACCCUGGACCUGCAGUGGGUACGGGCAGACUAGAGUGCGGUAGGGGGAGAUUGGAAUUCCUGGUGUAGCGGUGGAAUGCGCAGAUAUCAGGAGGAACACCGGUGGCGAAGGCGGGUCUCUGGGCUGUAACUGACGCUGAGGAGCGAAAGCGUGGGUAGCGAACAGG